rnacentral:misc_RNA from 1 species
GAAAAACAGGUCAAACACUGACAAGAGAACACUAACUGUACGUUGUUUUUGCCGAUGACAAACAAGAGAGUGUUAAAAAAAGAAUCUUCACAAAGAAGCGCUUGUUACAACUAUUGAGGCAUGACUACUUAUAAAAUUCUUUGCAAAAUACUAUACCAAUCAAAAAGGAGAAGAGAAAAUUCAAGUAUAAUAUAAAACCAAUGGAUGACAAUGGAAAACAAACAGUAGGAUUUAUCAGAAACACCCUCACAGCCUGAUAACACGAAGCAAAACUAUGUACAAUCUAUUGCAUUGCAUCAGAAGCAAAUCAUACGAUACAGACAUAUCAAAAUUAAAUGUCUCCCAUGAUCCAUGUCAAUCUGCCUUUGUUGUUUCAAAUUCACUUUUUUUUCCCAUAUCACAAAGAAGUGCUCUACCCCUCCUCCCACUAAAGCAAACCUAGCUCCAUAGACCUAAACAGUUAAACCUAGGGGUGGGCAUAAAUCAGUUUUAACAAAAAACAGAACCAUACCAUUUUAAUUCGGUUUUUUGGUUAAUUCGGUUCGGUUCGGUUAUUAUUUUUGGAGAAUUUUGAUUUUGAGCUCAGUUUGGUUACUUUAGCUAAAUUUAAAUUAAAAAAAAUGACCAAAUUUAAAGAAUUAAUGGACCUUUCUCCAGCCCGGCUCAAAAGUCCAAAUAAACUAAUCUGUGACGUAACCAAUGUUUAAAACGCAGCCCACUCUUCAAAUAAAAAGUUCAGUGACCUAACCCUCAUUUACACCCUUUCUGUUCUUCAUUUCUGAUCUCAAAUUAUCCAGUAUUCCGAUACCCUUCCUUCCCAGCCUCCCUGCCUCACUAUCACUGUCUGUGUCGCUGCCUCUGUUGGCCCUUCCCAUUCACUUCCUUUUUUUCAAGUUUCUGGCAUUCACUUUGGCGCUGUUUCAGUGGUGUUCACCGUCAUUUAUUACAUCUCUUUUUAGUUUCUCCAUCAUUCUUCGUCUGUGGAUUGUUGCUUGUUGGUGGAGAAGCUUUUUGAGGAUUCUCUCUUGCA